AUGUAGGAGCUGCCUUCAAGUAUGUGCUCCAUGAUGGCGGCAGCCUCAAUCUGUCUAGGGUGGUGCUUCAACUUAUGGGUCAAGUGGUCGGUGUACUCCGGCUUGCCGUGCAUGACCUCACAGAAGACAACCGAAAGGACCUCGGCAAGAAGGCUAAGGAUGUUAGCCUCGAAAAGCACCAUGGAUGCAAGCCCCGAGCCCACUGCUGUGCCGUUCACCAUAGCAAGGCCUUCCUUGGGCUGCAGCUCGAAGAAGCCAUGCUGGAUGCCGGCAAUCUUAAAUGCCUCCGCCGCGUUAACCUUGGUGCCAUCCGGAGCCGUGGCCAUGGAGUUUGGGCGGCCCGUUACCAGUCCCGCAAUAUAG
rnacentral:rRNA from 1 species